rnacentral:rRNA from 1 species
UACGGAGGAUGCGAGCGUUAUCCGGAUUUAUUGGGUUUAAAGGGAGCGUAGAUGGGAGGUUAAGCCAGUUGUGAAAAGCCCGUGCCCAACGCGGGUCGUGCAAUUGGAACUGUCCUUCUUGAGUGGGAACGGGGCAGGUGGAAUUCGUGGUGUAGCGGUGAAAUGCAUAGAUAUCACGAAGAACUCCGACAGCGUAGGCAUCCUGCCAGUCCCUUACUGACAUUGAAGCUCGAAGGUGCGGGUAUCAAAC